AUUCCAGCUCCAAUAGUGUACAUUAAAGUUGUUGCAGUUAUAAAGCCUGUAGCUGGAUUUCUGGUGUCGCUGUGCUUCCGCGUGUUUAAUUACAUGUCAAGUUGUGUUUGCGUCGCCAUCUUUUAGCAGCACCCUCCUGGCAUUAGGUUGUUGGGUUGGUAAUGCAAAUCGUUUACUGUGAAGAAAUUAGAGUGUUCAAAGCAGGCUUAUGCCGUUGAAUACGUUAGCAUGGAAUUAUGAGAUAGGACCUUGAUACUAUUUUGUUGGUUUGCACGCCGAAGUAAUGAUUAAUAGGAGCAGUUGGGGAUGUCCGUAUUCGAUCGUCAGAGGUGAAAUUCUUGGAUUUAUUGAAGACGAACUACUGCGAAAGCAUUCAUCAAGGAUGUUUUCAUCA
rnacentral:rRNA from 1 species